CCCGCCUUGGCCCCACAAAGCAGUGGGAUGACAGAUGCAGUCUCACUCUGUUCGCAAGCUGGAGUGCAGUGGUGUGAUCUCGGCUCACUACAACCUCCGACUCCCUGGUUCAAGCAAUUCUCCUGCCUCAGCCUCCGGAGUAGCUGGGAUUACAAGCACCCACCACCAUGCCCAACUAAUUUUUGUCUUUUUAGUAGAGACGGGGUUUCACCAUGUUGGCCAGGCUGGUCUCAAUCUCCUGACCUUGUGAUCCACCUGCUUCAGCCUCCCAAAGUGCUGGGACCACAGGCGUGGCCACUGUGCCCAGCCAAACCUCAUCUUUAUUACAGGAAUCAAAUCAUCAUAGUAAGAAUGGGAUUGAAGCAAGAUAGGUAGUCAAAGAAGUGACCGUGUCCUCAAGACACAGCAACCUUGGUGACCAUACUAUCAACAAAAAUGAGUCUCAGCAUUCACAUUGUAAUUGAGCUCAUUCCAGCAAAGCUAUCGUCAGUUGAGAAUUUCCCCCAUAGAGGGCAUGUGCCCUUUGAUUUUACCUGUCUUCAAACUGACGCUUUGCUCAUUUUCAUAGUAAAAAACAUAGCCCGGGUAGAGAUAUAAGAUGCUAAUGAGACCUGAGAUGUACGAACAAGCAUGUACAGCUGCUGUGUGUGUGCGCCCAGAGGACCACCUAGAACAUGCUUACCAGUAACACCUUUUCCCACCUCCUUAUGAAUAAUUAUGUAGGGAUCCCAUAAAGGGAGCCUCCCUAGUGUCAGUCUCUGCUGUCUCAUCCUGAAUCCAAUCUCUCUCAGGGUAUACUGCCAUUCUGCCCCUAACUUUCUACAUAUUCUUUUUCUUUUGCAAUAAAUUAC
rnacentral:lncRNA from 10 species